rnacentral:rRNA from 1 species
AAAAUUUAAAUUAAUAAUACUAAAAUAGUAAAUAAUUAUUUAUUGAAACUUAAAUAAUUUGGCGGUAUUUUAGUUCAUUUAGAGGAAUCUGUUUAAUAAUUGAUAAUCCACGAAUAAAUUUACUUAAUUUUUUAUUUUGUAUAUCGUUGUUAAAAAAAUAUUUUUUAAUAAUAAUAAUAUUUAAAAAUUUUAAUUAAAAAUUAAAUCAGAUCAAGAUGCAGAUUAUAAUUAAGAAUAUAAUGGAUUACAAUAAAUUUAUUUAUAUGAAUAUUAAUUUGUAAAAUUUAAUUGAAGGUGGAUUUAAAUGUAAUUUUAUUUAGUUUAAUAAAAUGAUUGAAAAUUAAGAUAUGU